GGGCCCGUCGCCUAACCUGGAUAUGGCGGCAGAGGAAAGCUGUAAUAAUCUGGGUUCAAAUCCCAGCGGGCCCG
rnacentral:tRNA from 1 species